CACGUAGGGGGCAAGCGUUGUCCGGAUUUAUUGGGCGUAAAGAGCUCGUAGGCGGUUCGCUAAGUCGGGUGUGAAACCUCCAGGCUCAACCUGGAGACGCCACCUGAUACUGGUGUGACUCGAGUCCGGUAGGGGAGCGUGGAAUUCCUGGUGGAGCGGUGAAAUGCGCAGAUAUCAGGAGGAACACCGGUGGCGAAGGCGGUUCUCUGGGCCUGUACUGACGCUGAGGAACGAAAGCGUGGGGAGCGAACAGG
rnacentral:rRNA from 1 species